GUCAACGUAGUAUAGUGGUUUGAGCAUUGGACUGUGACUCUGGAGACCAGGGUUUGAAUCCCUGCUCAGUCA